GAUGAACGCUGGCGGCGUGCUUAACACAUGCAAGUCGAACGGACUUAUUUUUAUGAAGCUUGCUUCGCGAGAUAAGUUAGUGGCGGACGGGUGAGUAACGCGUGGGUAACCUGCCGUAUGCUGGGGGACAACAGUUGGAAACGACUGCUAAUACCGCAUAAGCGCACAGUUUCGCAUGGAACGGUGUGAAAAACUCCGGUGGCAUACGAUGGCCUCGCGUCUGAUUAGCUAGUUGGCGGGGUAACGGCCUACCAAGGCGACGAUCGGUAGCCGACCUGAGAGGGUGAUCGGCCACAUUGGGACUGAGACACGGCCCAAACUCCUACGGGAGGCAGCAGUGGGGAAUAUUGGGCAAUGGGGGAAACCCUGACCCAGCAACGCCGCGUGGAGGAAGAAGGUUUUCGGAUCGUAAACUCCUGUCCUCAGGGAAGAGCAGAAGACGGUACCUGAGGAGGAAGCCCCGGCUAACUACGUG
rnacentral:rRNA from 1 species